GGAAUUUCUUAUGGUCUGGUCUUGACAUGAAGCAUACGGGUGCUAAAGUCAGUUGGAUGCAUCUUUGUGUUCCAAAGAAUGAAGGUGGGCUGGGGUUUAGGUCCCUUAAAGAAUGGAAAAAGGCUUCCAAUAUUAGGCACCUUUGGGCUUUGAGUUUUAAAGCUGAUUCGCUAUGGGUCAAAUGCAUGCAUAUGUACAUUCUGAAAGGGCAUAGUCUCUGGGGGAUUCCUAUACCGAAUGAUGCAUCAUGGGUAAUGAGGAAACUUCUCAAAUUAAGGGAUAGUUGCCAAGGCUGGAUCAGGUAUUGCAUUGGGGAUGGAGAACAUACAUUUUUGUGGACUGAUAAUUGGCACCCCUCGGUGCAUUGUACAAGCAGUUCGGUGAUUCCAUUGUUCCAAAUAGGGGCAGGGCUUUGAGAGCUAAAGUAUCCUCCAUUAUUGCUCAGGGGAAUUGGCGAUGGCCACGUAGAGAUGGCAAUACAUACCGAACAGAUGGGUACCCGAACUGAAACGAACCAAAAUAACCAAACCAUAACCGAAUUUUUCCCCGUGGGUAUGGGUAUGGUUGAGGCAUUAGAAAACCGAACGGGUAUCGGUUCGGUUAUGGUUUAACUGUUACCCAAACCGAUACCCGAACCGAACCAAAAUAACAAAAUUACAAAAGUACCCUUCAUAUAUAAGUAUAGCAGUAGGUGUAAGGGGUGGGUAGGGUUCACAGAUCUUCCCAAGUCAGCUGCACAUCCAUCCUCUCUCUCUCUCUCUCUCUCUCUCUCUCUCUCUCUCUCUCUCUCUCUCUCCUGGUUUUGAUCUCACACCCCUCCCUCUCUCUCUUCUCCAGUCUCCACUACACAAACCCACUUCUUCCUCUCCAGCAAACCCACUUCCUCCACUUGACUGCGAAGAGAAGAGAGCGGUGCCUCCACUUCACUGUGACUAAAGCCGUUGCCGUCGAAUCGUCGAUCCAAUAUGCCAACUGUCGUCGUUCACACCCAAAGAACGACCAUCUUCCUCCAUCUUCUCCAUGAGUCCUCUCUCUGUGUUUCGAAAUGAGUUCGUUUUGAAAUGUGUUUUCAGACUUCUCAUCAACAGAUCUAAGAGUGAUCUGUGAAGUUUGCUUCCUAAAUCUCAUCAUUCAAAUGACCAACCUGAUACAUUUCUGUAUAUAUGUGUGGUAAUCAUUCAUUUAAUUUUACAAAAUGUAGAUUAAUUUUUUUUUUAUCGGAUGUUGUUGCUGCUUGGUUCUCUUUUCUGGUUUUGCUGCUUCUGUUUUCUACUUUCGGUUACCCAUUCGGUUUAGGGAAUACCCGAACCCCAUUUGGUUCGAUUAUGGGUAAAAUCUUCUCUCCCUAUUCCGGUAUCGAGGCAGAUAUGGGUAGCCUUUCGGUUUUGGGGAUCGGGUACAGAAAUUCCCAUAUCCGCCCCAAAUGCCCCGAUUGCCAUCCCUAAAAGCCAAGGCAGAGGAGUCGAACUAUGAUGGGGGUUAUGCAUCACACUCCUGCAAAUUUUCUUAUUUUCUUCCGAAUCCAUCGAUUACUGAUAAAGUAAUCUAGACUCUUUCUCUAGAUGGUUGUUACUCUGUCAAGACAGCAUGGGAGGCAUGCAGACAUAGGUAUUCUUUUAAACACUGGCAUUUGUUAGUAAGAUUUAGCCAGAAUGUGCCUCGGCGGAGCUUUAUUCUUUGGCUUGCAAUCAGGACCGGCUCUGAAAUUUUGUGGGCUAAGAUGAUCUUAAAAAAUGAGACCUUUAAUAAAUGUAUACAAAAAAAAAAAAGUCGAUAAAUGAAUUUUUCAAAACUAAAUACAUGUAUUCAACGCGAAAAAUCCCACAAAAAAUACAAUAAAUCGCAAUAUUUCAAAAGCAUCAUUAUCGUUACUUAAAACAUCACUCUUCUUCUUGGUUUUUUUUUUCUCUGGCCGGUCCGUUCUUCCUUUCUUGCGUUUGUUUGCAAUGGGAUAGUGUUUGUGUAAAAGGGGAAAAGAUGAUGGUAAUGAUGCACGGUGCACCCACCACACGGUCCACACUAAAUAAAUUUCAAGGGCCCCAGAGAUCAGCAAUCCUGUGAUUCCUUUUAUUCCAGCUUCUUCUUCUUCUUUUUUUUGUUUAUUCCUCGGUUCCGUGUUCUUUUUAACUGGGCCACUGGGCCCUGUUCGCAAUAGCCAGUGGGCGAGGAGAACAUUGGGCCUUGGGUUUAAAAAUAGGCCCUAUAACAAACAUAUAUACUUAGUAUUGAAAACAAAUGGGGGCCCUAGUUUUUGGGCUUUUGGGGGGGCUUAAGGCUCAGGCCUCUUGGGCCUUAGCCCAGAGCCCGCACUGCUUGCAAUCUUGGAGCGUCUUUCCACCAAGGAUAGAAUAGCCAACUGGGGGAUAUCCAUUAAUCCAGUAUGUGUGUUGUGUCUGACUUGUGAAUAGUCUCAUGCUCAUUUGUUUUUUGAUUGCCAAUAUUCUGCGAUGAUCUGGAGCCGUGUUCUGCAGAAAAAUAACAUUUCCAGAGGGCCUUUCCCUUUGACUCAGGAGCUUGUUUGGGCUAGUGCCCAAAGGUAAAAGUUUUUGUAGUACUAUAUACAAGUUAUCUUUGGCAGCAACUUCUUACUUCCUGUGGGGUGAGCGUAACAUGAGGAUAUUUCAGAACAAGAGCAAGGAUGUGGAUGGCCUAGUUGCAGCGAUUUUUGAUGUGAUUAGAGCCAAGCUUUGUUCUUUUAAUUCUGUAAAGUUUUCUUGCCUUGAUAGGAAUAUUUGUGAUGAUUGGUUACUUAACUCUAGAGUUUUUAGGAUCAAUAAUGGCUGAUGUUGUAUAGGGCUGAUGUUGUAUAGUCUUGUUGUUCCUUGUAUUGUUGUUCAGGGGGAUGCCCCGUUAUUUUUGUAGUUUCUGUGUUUUUGGUGAAAUGAAAUUACUUACCCAAAAAAACAAGUUCUUUUCAUAGGUAAUUUAAGCAAAAGAGAGUUGCAAGAUCAUCCAAUUGGACGAUUCUUACCAGUAAUUCCUAGUUCACGAGCACAAGGUCAAGCAUUCCGAAAAACUCAUUGCUUUACUUGGGAGAAAAUCGGUAAAAUUUAAGGCAGGAGUUUCAAUUUUUGGUAUGAACUCAAUGGGUUAUGAUAGGAGCUGACAUCUUUUCUCACUUCUAAAGCAAUAAGGGGUCACUAUGUUAUUUUUGUGUUACUUCUUUGAUGCAUGUUUUGUGUUACUUCUUUGAGGCAUGUUUUGGGUUACACUGCAGUCUCUGCCCAACGUGCACAAGACUACAUCCACAAGUUUCUAGAAAGUCUUGUGAGCGACUUCAGACAUGGUUGGUAAAAACAGAAAAAUUUUCCCAAAAACCGUCUUAUUUUAAUCAUUCAGGCCUCAGGGUAAUUUCCUAAUUCAGUCUUAUUUUAGUUCUGAGCAGUUCUAAAGCACCACAAAUUCCUAGGAAUAAAUAGCCAAAGGCCCAAAAGCUCGAAGAGGUCAUCCGUACAUGUAUCAUAUUUGUCCAGGGCAGUUUCAGGGACACCUAAAAAAAAUCUAAAAAACACCUCAAAUCUCAAUCUCAUAGUUCCCGAUCAAAUUUUUAUGAUCCGAACCGUUCAAUGUGUGCAGAAUGUGAUUUUAAAGGUGCCCACGAGAAAUUAGCAAAAAAUAUAACCGGGAAGUGCUUGUUUUGAGCAAUUUUUAAUUGAACUGUACAUCAAAUCUGAGCUAAAAAUUGCUCAGAUCAAGCCCUUCCCGGACAUUUUUUUUGUUGAUUUCUCACGGGUACCCUUAAAAUUACGUUCUGAUCACAUUGAGCGGCUCGGAUUAUCAAAAUUUGAUUGGGAACUAUGAGAUGUUUUUUUAGAUGUUUUUAUAGGUGUCCCCGGAACCGCCCCGAUAUUUGUCACCAUCUAUUUUUGCAAGAAUUAAAAUUUACCCUACAUAGUAGGAGUAAUAUUUUUUUUUGAACAGCAUUGUAGGAGUAAUAUUUACCCAACAUUCCAAUUCAUCAUAAGAAAUAGCAUUGUGUCAUCAUUCCUAAUUCCUAUCUUUCUUGUCUCUCUAUUAUUGGACUCAGGUCACUCAAUUCUAUAUGGUAUUCUGUGCCAUUUCUCUCAAUCGAUACAUCCCUAACGCUCUUCCAAUGUCCAAAAUUCUACAACAGGUACUUUUCAUUUACAGGCACCCAAAUCCCAGUGGUUUGGUUUGUAGGAGUUCUUAGCAAGUCACAUGUCUAGCAAGAUCAUUCAAUUUUUAUGCAACCAAAACUAUCUAAUGAUACAAAUAAAUGGCUUUCCUGACAAUCAUAACAAGGGGAGUCCAUAAGCCAAAAAGAAGAAAGCAUAGAAACAAUAUUGGGACAUAGCAUAGGAUACAUUAAGUACAGCCGCCAGAAUUUACUGAGACAGGCUGAUCAAUACCCAAACCACACCAAAAACAAGGGAGGGGGGAAUGGAGCACAAUCCAAGUGGAUCUCUCAAGUUGUUGAUGAUCCCAUUAAAGAAACCACAAAUGAAAAGUGAUUCUAACAAGUUAAUAUCCAUCUUUUCAAGCUUGAACUUGGACUAACCAUAAGUGCGAUUCUUUCUAUCCUCACUGACUCUUGUAUCUGUAACUAUUUACCAUGCAAUCAUAGUAGUAAGGUGGCCACCUGUCCCACAAUGGGUGGGAGGGAGAAUGUCCAAUGCCGUAUAAGUGAAAAAAUUUCAACUUUUUAGAAGGCCUUUGCCAACGAACUUGGGAAAAACAAAAUCAUGUUUGGACACAUGGGCGUACGUGUAAAGCUGUGUACGCAGCGGGUGGCAACUUUCAUGUAAAGGAGUCAAUAUUUUACUUGGCGUGGACUGUCAAUACAAAUUUGGUAUUACAGCCAGUCCUGAUCCCACAAAGGACUCUGCGAUGGUGUGGUUAGAGGAGUAGAGGCUCUACAGAGAACUCUGGGCUAGUGUAUCAUGCAUACACUUAGGGCGUACUCUCUAGUUGUUUAUGACCUUCUAUGCCACUCUGCAGUGAAGAUUGCGGCACCUCAUCCCACAUGGGGAGGAAUGGAGAAUGUCUAAUGCCAAGUGAAGACGUUGGACCUUUCCAGAUUUCUACUCAAAGACUUUUUUCCCAGUGAAACUUGGGAAGACCCAAGUCAUGCACCGGCAAUGUGGGGGCAUGAAUGAAUGUAGGCGUGUACACUUCAUGUGGGGGGCAAACGGAUAAUAUUAUCAUAGUCACCACAAGUGGUCUUAACAUAUUGCUUAGAGUCCAAUGAUUUUGACAAGGACAACAAAUAGCUUCUCUACAAAGAAUCAACAAAGAGGAUAGCAGGAAAUAAUGAGAGAACAGAUGUAUCUUACCCAUGCAACCAAGUUUUGCUCAGUACCGGCUCUUUU